rnacentral:rRNA from 1 species
UACGAAGGGGGCUAGCGUUGCUCGGAAUUACUGGGCGUAAAGCGCACGUAGGCGGCUUUCUAAGUCGGGGGUGAAAUCCUGGAGCUCAACUCCAGAACUGCCUUCGAUACUGGAGAGCUCGAGUCCGGGAGAGGUGAGUGGAACUGCGAGUGUAGAGGUGAAAUUCGUAGAUAUUCGCAAGAACACCAGUGGCGAAGGCGGCUCACUGGCCCGGUACUGACGCUGAGGCUCGAAAGCAUGGGGAGCAAACAGG